UCAACUCACUUUUCUUCUGUAAAGGAAUUUAAGUUUGCUUUAUAGAGAAGGUUAAAAAAAUAUGGAUUGGGCCAGGGACUCAAUGUAUGAUUUCAGUGAUAUGUGAAAAUCUUGGAUGAUGAAACUCUCUGGCAACGUAGGUUGGCAAUUUCUCUGUACAUAGCCAAUAUGUGUCAGGGGUGAACCUUGAACCUAGCUCUUCCUGGCUGCGAGGGCUGUUCUCUAUCUCCUGUGCAUGAUAACUUGGUAAGCAAAGGUGAUUAUGAGCAAGUUGAAACUCAGGAUAAAAAAGGAGUUUGUAAGAGCCUGGAAUUGCUCAAAAUGAAUCCAAACAAAUGAAGGCUCAGGACAAAGAAUUUGCAGUUAUGAUAGUUGGACUAAUAUUGGCGAUCCUUGAGGAAUCAUUUCAGGGGAGAAGUGAUGAAGGAAUGAAGAUGCAGAAUCCAAGGCAUAGAGGUUAAAUGACUGACAGAGGGUCAUCUAGCAAAUAAGUGCCCAAGGUGGCCCAGUGGAGAGUUGGGAAGACCUGAAUUUAUAGACUAUGUCGGACACUGGCUAUGUGACCCUGGGUAAGCCACUCGACAAUUUUCUCAUCUACACGACGGGGAUAAUAAUAAUAGCAGUGAUCUCAGAGGGUUGCUGUAAGGACCAAAUGAAAUAACCUACCUAGGGCACUUUGCAUAUUUUAAUGCUCUAUACAAAUUCUAGCUAUUAUGAUUGUUGUUAUUAUUAUUUCAUACCUAACUUAGAUCAUGAGGUCCUAGAAGGUGUUGACCAUAUUUAGUACUUCCUUGUGUCUCCCAUAAUACAAAGUACAGUUACAUUGUUCAUAGUAGGGGGUCAAUAAGUUCUUGUUAAUAGAUCAUUUUUACUAUCAUUUAUCCCUCCUUAACUUUCUAGUAGGUAAAAUCUGAUCAAGGAUAGCCUUGUCCUCAGAGAAGGAGAAAGGAGAAAUAUAGCCUAAUCAAUCUAGAAUUAGGAGAGACCUUGGGGACCAUUGAUACAGGAGUUCUUAUACCCAUUGGGGGUAUGCAUACCCCAUGUUGGGAACCAUGGGUUUAGUCCACCUCUUCUUUAUACAGGUGAAGAAACUGAGGCCCAGAGAGGUUUUAGACUUGCCCAAGGAUAAACAGGAAAUGCUGAAAAAGCAAAUCCUACUUCUUUAAUCCCAAAUCCAUCACUCUUUCAGCUAUGACUAAUAAACAGAGUGGAUGGUGUGGGUGAAAAAAGGGU
rnacentral:lncRNA from 1 species